rnacentral:rRNA from 1 species
AAAUGCGGGAAGCAGGGUGAUCCUAUGCUGCCAAGAAAAUCUUCUAGCGAGGUUCGAGCCGCCCGUACCCCAAACCGACUCAGGUGGUUAGGUAGAGAAUACCAAGGCGAUCGAGUGAAUCGUGGUUAAGGAAUUCGGCAAAAUGCCCCCGUAACUUCGGGAGAAGGGGGGCCCAGACUCUGAAGUCACUUGCUGACUAGGGGAAAGGGCCGCAGAGACCAGGGAGAAGCGACUGUUUACUAAAAACACAGGUCCGUGCGAAGUCGCAAGACGAUGUAUACGGACUGACGCCUGCCCGGUGCUGGAAGGUUAAGAGGACGGGUUAGAUCUUCGGGUCGAAGCUCAGAAUUUAAGCCCCAGUAAACGGCGGUGGUAACUAUAACCAUCCUAAGGUAGCGAAAUUCCUUGUCGGGUAAGUUCCGACCUGCACGAAUGGCGUAACGACUUCUCCACUGUCUCAACCGCGAACUCGGCGAAAUUGCACUACGAGUAAAGAUGCUCGUUACGCGCAGCAGGACGGAAAGACCCCGGGACCUUCACUAUAGCUUGGUAUUGGUGUUCGGGACGGCUUGUGUAGGAUAGGUGGGAGACUUUGAAGCCGGCACGCCAGUGUCGGUGGAGUCAACGUUGAAAUACCACUCUGGUCGUUCUGGAUGUCUAACCUCGGUCCGUGAUCCGGAUCAGGGACAGUGCCUGGUGGGUAGUUUAACUGGGGCGGUUGCCUCCUAAAAGGUAACGGAGGCGCUCAAAGGUUCCCUCAGCCUGGUUGGCAAUCAGGUGUCGAGUGUAAGUGCACAAGGGAGCUUGACUGCGAGAGAGACAUCUCGAGCAGGGACGAAAGUCGGAACUAGUGACCCGGCGGUGGCUUGUGGAAGCGCCGUCGCUCAACGGAUAAAAGGUACCCCGGGGAUAACAGGCUGAUCUUGCCCAAGAGUCCAUAUCGACGGCAUGGUUUGGCACCUCGAUGUCGGCUCGUCGCAUCCUGGGGGUGGAGUCGCUCCCAAGGGUUGGGCUGUUCGCCCAUUAAAGCGGUACGCGAGCUGGGUUUAGAACGUCGUGAGACAGUUCGGUCCCUAUCCGCUGUGCGCGUAGGAAACUUGAGAAAGGCUGACCCUAGUACGAGAGGACCGGGUUGGACGAACCUCUGGUGUGUCAGUUGUUCUGCCAAGAGCACCGCUGAUUAGCUACGUUCGGAAGUGAUAACCGCUGAAAGCAUCUAAGCGGGAAGCACGUUUCAAGAUGAGGUUUCCAUGGGGCUUGCCCCGAGAGGCUCCCGGCUAGACUACCGGGUUGAUAGGC